UACGGGGGGAGCAAGCGUUGUUCGGAUUUACUGGGCGUAAAGGGCGCGUAGGCGGCCACCGCAAGUCAGUUGUGAAAUCUCUGGGCUUAACCCAGAACGGUCAGCUGAUACUGCGGGGCUAGAGUGCAGAAGGGGCAACUGGAAUUCUCGGUGUAGCGGUGAAAUGCGUAGAUAUCGAGAGGAACACCUGCGGCGAAGGCGGGUUGCUGGGCUGACACUGACGCUGACAGCCCGAAAGCUAGGGGAGCGAACGGG
rnacentral:rRNA from 1 species